UACAGAGGGGGCAAGCGUUGUUCGGAAUUACUGGGCGUAAAGGGCGCGUAGGCGGCCUGUUAAGUCGAACGUGAAAUCCCUGGGCUCAACCCAGGAACUGCGUCCGAUACUGGCAGGCUUGAAUUCGGGAGAGGGAUGUGGAAUUCCAGGUGUAGCGGUGAAAUGCGUAGAUAUUCGGAAGAACACCAGUGGCGAAGGCGACUCACUGGACAUGUAUUGACGCUGAGGUACGAAAGCGUGGGGAGCAAACAGG
rnacentral:rRNA from 1 species